rnacentral:rRNA from 1 species
GUGAGGAAUAUUGGUCAAUGGGCGCGAGCCUGAACCAGCCAAGUAGCGUGAAGGAUGAAGGCUCUAUGGGUCGUAAACUUCUUUUAUAUGGGAAUAAAGUUUUCCACGUGUGGAAUUUUGUAUGUACCAUAUGAAUAAGGAUCGGCUAACUCCGUGCCAGCAGCCGCGGUAAUACGGAGGAUCCGAGCGUUAUCCGGAUUUAUUGGGUUUAAAGGGAGCGUAGGUGGAUUGUUAAGUCAGUUGUGAAAGUUUGCGGCUCAACCGUAAAAUUGCAGUUGAAACUGGCAGUCUUGAGUACAGUAGAGGUGGGCGGAAUUCGUGGUGUAGCGGUGAAAUGCUUAGAUAUCACGAAGAACUCCGAUUGCGAAGGCAGCUCACUAGACUGCAACUGACACUGAUGCUCGAAAGUGUGGGUAUCAAACAGGAUUAGAAACCCGGGUAGUCC